GCAGAGGGAGGUCAUUAGGGUGAGAACAAGCUGUCUUCUGACGUUAUUCAAGCCAGAAAGCCCCUGUGGCCUUUGUCCAAAACAGUAACCCGAUCAGUCUGACCGUGCCCCAGACCUUUGAAAGUAAUCCCCGUGUCCGCGCAACAGUGUGUCGCUGAGGGCUGUUCUGAGCCAGGGAGAUCAAAAUGACACACGUUCCAUCCUUGGACUUUUGCUGGUCUUGCUCAUUGCGUUAGAGCUGCUGGCUUCAGUGUUCCCCAGUCAGCCACAAAAUGCUGGAGUAACUCAGCGGGACAGGCAGCAUCUCUGGAGAGAAGGGAAAAAGCUUGACCUCCGCCUGGCAUCUGUGUGGAAGAAUUACACGAGGGGAUCCUAGUCAAAUACCGCACUGCGCUUCAUCAGUCCCGCAAGUAGCCCUCAGGCAAAUGUCUGGAAGUUUUGUAGUUAGUAACGUUGAUCUCAAGGGGCCAUAUGGACAACUCCAAACUUCCAUCCAUUCAAGCAAUUCCCAAUGUACAAAUCCAUUUUAAAAUUCAUGUUUAACAUAGGACGUCAACUGGACUCAGAAGUCGAUCACAAAUCUCUCUCCAUCUUCAAGCAAACAGUAGAAUGUUUUUGUCAAACAAAUCCCAGGUGCCGUAACUAAAUCAGAAAUUCAAAAAGGUUGUUAUGUUUCUUAAUAUCCCUAAAUCAUUUAGAGUUAAACGCAAUUAUUAAAGGCAAAUCCACAU